AAAACAAUUGUUUUCAGGGUGAAUCAAAAAACCUUUACAUUUUAAAUUGACUAGUUGGGUAGUUACUGUAUUACAACUGUUUUCUGGAUUUCUAUGCCCGAUAAACAAAUUUGACAAUUUGUUUUUUUUACUAAUUUUCCUUGCUAGGGUUUUAUUAAAUUAAAAUAGUGAUAUCAUUUAGUUAACUUAAAAUAAAUCUACAUUAUUUAUCAGUAUAAAAUAUUUUAAUACAAUACAAAUUAUACCACACACUCAAAAGUAGCAUUGUCAUUAAAAUUGCAUUCCUGAAAGAUGUCAUGACAUAAGAAAACUUUUUACCGAUCAAUUUGCUAAGUCAUACAAUUGGACUGAAGCAAAAGGAAAAAACCUUUAUCAUGUUUAUACCUGUCUAAGAUAAUCAUUGGUAAGAUAAUUUUAUUGAUGCUUAAUUGUUUUAACAGCUUUUCUAUUUUUUUUUUUUAUUAUUAAGAUAUCAAAAACAAAACAUUUAAUGUACAUCAAAAUUAAAUUUGUUAUAGAAUUGAUUAAUUUACCUAUAUAAUUUAUUAUAAUCUUUCAUAUUUUUAUAUAACAUUUGCUGUUUCUCAAAAUUCAAGAGUUUGUUAUAGAAUUGAUUAAUUUACCUAUAUAAUUUAUUAUAAUCUUUCAUAUUUUUAUAUAGAUGCUGUUUCCAAAAAUUCAAGAGUUUGACAUUAUUACUUGUAUCAAAACCGGAUAAGACAUGCAG